rnacentral:rRNA from 1 species
UACAGAGGUCUCAAGCGUUAUUCGGAUUCAUUGGGCGUAAAGGGUGCGUAGGUGGCGAUGUAAGUCUGGUGUGAAAUCUCGGGGCUUAACCCCGAAAUUGCAUUGGAUACUGCGUUGCUUGAGGAUUGUAGUGGAGAGUGGAAUUCACGGUGUAGCAGUGAAAUGCGUAGAUAUCGUGAGGAAGACCAGUUGCGAAGGCGACUCUCUGGGCAAUUCCUGACACUGAGGCACGAAGGCCAGGGGAGCAAACGGG